GGUGGCUUAGUGGUAGAGCACUUGUCUUGCAUGCAUGAGGCCCUGGGUUUGAUUCCCAGCACCA
rnacentral:tRNA from 1 species